AAGGUUUUAAAGCAAAUUAGAAGGGAAGGCUUAUACACUUAACGUUAUAUAAAUUUGGCUUUUGUCAUUGGACCUCCAAUAUAUUGUAAAGGAUCUUUAAGCACAUUGGAUUGGAGGUGUUAGGCUCGUUGCUCCUUGCCUUAGGCUCCUUUCAUGCCACCAUACUCAUGAUUACCUUCCUCAAGAUUUGUUGUCAUUAACGCCAUGUCACUUGUGCCACGAGCCAGCAAAAAAGAAAACUCAAUGCUCCUCACCUGGAACCAGCAUGACCGAGCAAAGAAGGAGAUGAUCCUAGGCGAACAAACACGGAGGAGGAAGGAAAAAGAAUCUGCAACAGCAUGAACGAGAGAGGAGCGAAGAUGUUUGCAACGAGAAACAGGGGAGGAUGAACAAAGAACAGAGGGAAAUGAACAGCUCCUGCUUCCUCGAACGGAAGAAAUGGAGAGUUUGUACCUCACUCACCAAUACAUACGUGUGCACAGAAUCAAACUAGAGAGAGGACAGAAUCAAGCUUCCAUGGCUACCCAUGAGCACUGCCACAACGCAUACAAACAGAGGAGGAAGGGAAGCACAGUCGUCAGUGAUAACGCAGCGGUCGAGGAAGGAGAAGAUGCUAUUGCACGAAGGAAGAGGGAGAGGAACGAACUCUACUCACAGCAUCCAGACGACGCCAACGAGAAAGAGAAAAACAAGGAAUCAACAGUGAAGCUUGAACAGAGAUGGAGUAGGUAGAUCUUGAGCGAAAUCUUUACAGCGGCGAACUCAUGGUGAACUCGACACCCAUGCCGAUGAUCAAUUGAAACGGAGGAGGCGAGAAUGCGGUGGAGGUUUGAUCAGAAAGUUCCCUCUCACUGGAUUCUUGAAGAUUCGAGAAUGGAAAAAAUGAAAAAAAAAAAAAAAAAGUUCGGCAUGCGUGUGAUUUAUAUCCGACUCUGUUUCUGUUUCUGUUUCUAUUUCAUUUUUUUUUGAGAGGCAUAAUGGUAAUAUCAUGUAAAUCAGAUAAAAUAAACAAAAAUAAGAGAAAAAAAAUGAA